rnacentral:rRNA from 1 species
UGCCAGCCGCCGCGGUAAUACGUAGGGUGCAAGCGUUGUCCGGAUUUAUUGGGUUUAAAGGGUGCGUAGGCGGUUUUAUAAGUCAGUGGUGAAAGACAACAGCUCAACUGUUGAGGUGCCAUUGAUACUGUAGAACUUGAGUACAGACGAGGUAGGCGGAAUUGACAGUGUAGCGGUGAAAUGCAUAGAUAUUGUCAAGAACACCGAUAGCGAAGGCAGCUUGCUAGCCUGUAACUGACGCUGAGGCACGAAAGUAUGGGGAUCAAACAGGAUUAGAUA